AUUGAACGCUGGCGGCAGGCCUAACACAUGCGAGUCGAAUGGUAGCAGGAAACAGCUUGCUGUUUCGCUGACGAGUGGCGGACGGGUGAGUAAUGUCUGGGAAACUGCCUGAUGGAGGGGGAUAACUACUGGAAACGGUAGCUAAUACCGCAUAACGUCGCAAGACCAAAGAGGGGGACCUUCGGGCCUCUUGCCAUCAGAUGUGCCCAGAUGGGAUUAGCUAGUAGGUGGGGUAACGGCUCACCUAGGCGACGAUCCCUAGCUGGUCUGAGAGGAUGACCAGCCACACUGGAACUGAGACACGGUCCAGACUCCUACGGGAGGCAGCAGUGGGGAAUAUUGCACAAUGGGCGCAAGCCUGAUGCAGCCAUGCCGCGUGUAUGAAGAAGGCCUUCGGGUUGUAAAGUACUUUCAGCGGGGAGGAAGGGAGUAAAGUUAAUACCUUUGCUCAUUGACGUUACCCGCAGAAGAAGCACCGGCUAACUCCGUG
rnacentral:rRNA from 1 species